rnacentral:rRNA from 1 species
GACGAACGCUGGCGGCGUGCCUAAUACAUGCAAGUCGAGCGCUGAAGGCUGGUACUUGUACCAACUGGGUGAGCAGCGCACGGGUGUGUAACGCGUGGGGACUCUGCCUUUGAGCGGGGGACAACAUUGGGAAACGAAUGCUAAUACCGCAUAAAAACUUUAAACACAAGUUUUAAGUGUGAAAGAUGCAAUUGCAUCACGCAAAGACGAUCCCGCGUUGUAUUAGCUAGUUGGUGAGGUAAAGGCGCACCAAGGCGAGGAUACAUAGCCGACCUGAGCGGGUGGUCAGCCGCAUUGGGACGGUGACCCGCCCCAAACUCCUACGGGAGGCAGCCGUAGGGAAACUUCAGCCAUGGGCGGAAGACUGACCGAGAUGCGCCGAGUCAGUGAACAGGGUUGUCGGGUCGUAAAACUCGGUUGGUGGGGAAGAACGUUGGUGAGAGUGGAAAGCUCAUCAAGUGACGGUAACUACCCAGAAAGGGACGGCUAACUACGUG